AACGAACGCUGGCGGCAGGCUUAACACAUGCAAGUCGAACGCAUCGCAAGAUGAGUGGCAGACGGGUGAGUAACGCGUGGGAACAUACCCUUUUCUACGGAAUAGCUCUGGGAAACUGGAAUUAAUACCGUAUACGCCCUACGGGGGAAAGAUUUAUCGGGGAAGGAUUGGCCCGCGUUGGAUUAGCUAGUUGGUGGGGUAAAGGCCUACCAAGGCGACGAUCCAUAGCUGGUCUGAGAGGAUGAUCAGCCACAUUGGGACUGAGACACGGCCCAAACUCCUACGGGAGGCAGCAGUGGGGAAUAUUGGACAAUGGGCGCAAGCCUGAUCCAGCCAUGCCGCGUGAGUGAUGAAGGCCCUAGGGUUGUAAAGCUCUCUCACCGAUGAAGAUAAUGACGGUAGUCGGAGAAGAAGCCCCGGCUAACUUCGUGCCAGCAGCCGCCGUAAAAC
rnacentral:rRNA from 1 species